CCUACGUGAGGCAGCAGUGAGGAAUAUUGGUCAAUGGUCGGGAGACUGAACCAGCCAAGCCGCGUGAGGGAGGAAGGUACAGAGUAUCGUAAACCUCUUUUGUCAGGGAACAAAGACUGGGACGCGUCCCCGGAUGAGUGUACCUGAAGAAAAAGCAUCGGCGAACUCCGUGCCAGCAGCCGCGGUAAUACGGAGGAUGCGAGCGUUAUCCGGAUUUAUUGGGUUUAAAGGGUGCGCAGGAUGUCUGUUAAAUCAGCGGUCAAACUCCGGGGCUCAACCCCGGCCCGCCGUUGAAACUGGCAGUCUCGAGUUGGAGAGAAGUAUGCGGAAUGCGCGGUGUAGCGGUGAAAUGCAUAGAUAUCGCGCAGAACUCCGAUUGCGAAGGCAACAUGCCGGCUCCACACUGACGCUGAGGCACGAAAGCGUGGGUAUCGAACAGGAUUAGAUACCCCAGUAGUC
rnacentral:rRNA from 1 species